rnacentral:lncRNA from 1 species
CGAGUUCCUGUCUUGAUAGUAUUAAGGUUAUACGAAAAAUAACUAAUGAGUAAGUUUAGAAAGACUGCAGAGUUCAAGGUCAAUGUACACAAAUAAACACAUGGUAUUUCUCUACAGUAGCAGAGAAAACCCCAGUAGACAUAUUUGUAUUAACUGGUACUCUGACUCAGCAGUUAUCAUCAAUUUUUACCUCAAAACCUGUAAAAAUAUAAUUUACUUUAAUUUACUUUGGCAUUGUAAUUGCUGACUGGGAAGCAAAAUAAACAGACUGCAGAUAAUGCAUGCAUCUUCUACAGAGGGAAGAAAUACAUGAUGAUUAAUUAUUAUAAAACUGUAUAAUAAAAUGAGCUAUAACUACAGAG